GCUGCUCAGGGCCAAGCAUGACAGUUUGGCUAGGGGAGCUGCUUCAGAUUGGAAAGCUGUUGGAUGCAAGGUGUUGUAAACCGACUGUCCAAGUUACUGAAACCUGGGGGAAUGCUGUUAUUUCGAGACUAUGGAAGAUAUGAUAAGACUCAGCUUCGUUUUAAAAAGGGACAUUGUUUAUCUGAAAAUUUUUAUGUUCGAGGAGAUGGUACCAGAGCAUAUUUCUUUACAAAAGGGGAAGUCCACAGUAUGUUCUGCAAAGCCAGUUUAGAUGAAAAGCAAAAUCUGGUUGAUCGCCGCUUACAAGUUAAUAGGAAAAAACAAGUGAAAAUGCACCGAGUGUGGAUUCAAGGCAAAUUCCAGAAACCAUUGCACCAGACUCAGAAUAGCUCCAAUAUGGUAUCUACACUCCUUUCACAAGACUGAACUUUGUAACAUGUUAAGGUACAAAGCCAGAGGACUGUGCUAUUCAAGGACUACUGUAAGUCUAUUGUUUCUCAAAAGACAAUGAGAAAAAAAGAAGAGAAUUUGUAUUUCCUGCCGUUUUGUCAUAGGUGAGCUCCUUUGUGCAUUUUAAGCACAUGUAAGUGGUUCAGCACAGUAUGCCUUUUUCUGUGCUUUGAAAACUUGAUAUGCUCAAGCUUGUUUGAAUUUAUUACAUCUAACCAUUUUGCUUGUUCCUUGAUUUUUAUAAGCA
rnacentral:lncRNA from 1 species